GACAGAUUGCUCACCCGGUCUGCCUGCCUGCCCGUUGCAGCUCACCGGCGAUCCCAUCGCCUCUCGCUCCGUCUCCGGCUCCGGCGGCUCUCUAACGAACUACCGGAGCAUGCGGCACCACCACGGCUGCAGCCGGGCCCACCAGGUGGGCGCGCUGCUCCUCGUCGCCGCCACCUUCCUGCUCACCCGCCUUUUCGACCGCCUCUUUCUCGACGCAUCUUCUCCUUCCUCUCCCUCCUUCCCCUUAAGCGCCGCUCGCCCCGCCUCCCCUUCCGCCGACCUCCGCAUCUACGUCUACUCCGAGGACGAGAUCCAGGGCCUCCGUACUCUGCUCCGCGGACGCGACGGCACCGUCGCCGCUGCCACCUGCCUCAAGGGCCAGUGGGGCACCCAGGUCAAGAUCCACCAGUUUCUUCUAAAGUCAAGGUUCAGAACAUUCAACAAGGAUCAAGCAAACCUUUUCUUUGUUCCGAGUUAUGUCAAGUGUGUUCGCAUGACAGGGGCGCUCAAUGAUAAGGAAAUCAAUCAGACUUAUGUCAAGAUUCUGAGUCAGAUGCCAUAUUUCCGUAGAUCAGGUGGGCGUGACCACAUUUUUGUCUUCCCAAGUGGUGCUGGAGCUCAUCUAUUUCGCUCGUGGGCAACAUUUCUGAAUCGAUCCAUUAUACUUACUCCAGAGGGUGACCGUACUGACAAACGAGGCACAAGUGCAUUUAAUACAUGGAAAGAUAUUAUUAUACCUGGGAACGUGGAUGAUUCUAUGGUGAAGUCCGAUGCUCGUGCCGUCCAGCCAAUACCAUUAAGGAAAAGGAAGUACCUAGCCAACUUCCUUGGCCGUGCCCAGGGGAAAGCUGGGCGCCUUCAACUGGUGAAGCUUGCAAAGCAGUAUCCUGACAAGCUGGAGUCUCCAGAACUGAAGUUGUCUGGGCCUAACAAAUUGGGAAGAAUGGAUUACUUCAAACACCUGAGGAAUGCAAAGUUCUGUUUGGCUCCUCGUGGCGAGUCGUCAUGGACACUUCGGUUCUACGAGUCCUUUUUUGUGGAAUGUGUGCCGGUGAUUUUGUCAGAUGAAGUUGAGCUUCCUUUCCAGAAUGUGAUCGACUACAGCGAAAUCUCGAUAAAGUGGCCAUCGUCUAGGAUUGGUGAACUCUUUGAGUACCUUGAAUCAAUACCAGAUGAAAGGAUCGAGGAAAUGAUUGGUCGUGGGCGUGAGAUCAGAUGCUUGUGGGUGUAUGCAGCGGAUACGGAGCCGUGCUCUGCCAUGAGCGGUAUCCUGUCGGAGCUGCAGAGGAAGGUGCGGCGGUUCCAUCAGUCGCCCGAGACGUUCUGGCUGCACAACAGGUCGAUUGUGAACAGAGAUCUGGUUGAGUUCCACAGCUGGAGGACGCCAGUUCCAUUGCCGUGAACUGUAAAUUCUGAUCGUGACUAGUCGACAAUUGUUCUGUAUCAUGUAGUCAUUUUUUAACAAGAACGUUGUUGUUCUUGAGAAGAAACACAUAUAUUACGAUUACGUUAAGGAUUAACACUAGCAUGCUAGAAGAAGUUUGCUGUCUUGUCGUUGUGUCGAGACUACUUGUCGCCACUCGACUCAACAAAUUAGAUUUUCGUGACAAACAUUAAUACUUGGAAAAA